AUGCACUAUUUGGGUUGCUCAUAUGGGUAUCUUAUCUUCUCCUACGAGGAGCACUGCCUCCUUGUCAAUGUGUACACUGGUACCAAGGUGAAGCCCCCCAAACUCCCACCCAACAACAGACUUGGGUACUUAUGUGGCAUAGGCAUCCUUACAGCUCCAUUAAAUUCACCCAACUCUCGCCUCCUCCUUUGCUCGAAAGCUUCCAUGUUUGAGUGGCAGGUUGGAACAAACUCCUGGUCAGAGCACCCUCUUGCUCUUGAUCGUGAAAACAUCUAUCAGAUUGUGUUCUUCAGAGGUGAUAUCUUUGUCAUAGAUGGUCUUAUGAGGCUCCACACUAUACACUUGACGCCUCAGUUCAGCAUGCAAGAAGUUGCAAUUAAAUUGGAGUUUGCGCCUCUUCAUCCAUGGUUAGUGGUCUGUGGUGACAUGCUUCUCAUGGUUGACCAACUGUUAAGCUAUGGCGAAUUGAAUGGCUCAGUUGACACAACCAUUAAGGUCUUCCGCCUCGACUUUUCUGUUGAACCAGCUGAGUGGGUGAAGCUGGAGAAGCUGGAAAAUCAUGCUCUGUUUGUUAGCGUCGAUAGGAGGAAUCCUACAUUUUCUUGCAUGAGCCCGGAAAGAUGGGGAGGAAAGAGUAACUGCAUUUAUUUUGCCAGGCUAUCUGAAGGUCCUGAUGAAACUUGGUCUGCCGUCGAUCUUGGUCAGCCAGUGCUAAAAGACAUAGUUUUCCCCAUCUACUAUGGUAUGGUGCUCCCUCCUGACUGCAGCCUACUAAGUAGCCUAUGGGUGUUCCCCAAUUUAAUUUAUGGUUCUGGCUAG
rnacentral:rRNA from 1 species